UUUAUUUAAAUUAAAUACGGAAGUUCAUAGAUUAAGCAAGAAAGUGCCAGCAACAUGGUGCGUGCCUCCGACUGGGCACUAACCCUCCAAGUCUUAGUUUCCCCAACCAUAACUGGCCAAUGAACAGCAGCUCUGGAUGCAGCUAAAGGAGGACUGAAGCUGUAUGAGAAGCUCAUAGGUGGCAAGUACAUGGGCGAGCUGGUGCGGCUCGUGCUGCUCAGACUAGUGGACGAAAACCUGCUCUUCCACGGGGAGGCCUCCGAGCAGCUGCGCACACGCGGAGCCUUCGAGACGCGCUUCGUGUCGCAGGUGGAGAGCGACACGGGCGACCGCAAGCAGAUCUACAACAUCCUGAGCACGCUGGGGCUGCGACCCUCGACCACCGACUGUGACAUCGUGCGCCG
rnacentral:sRNA from 1 species